UUUGACAGCCCACCGGUAUGCCAGACUAACAGUCCACCCACGGGGCUACAGUCUGUUUAUCCGGGGCUAAAGCCCUGGAAAAAUGACCUGGCGACGCCUAUGAACGGAACCACCCCUGAAUAAUCAAUAUUAGAUAUGUCAGUCAAGUUAAAAAAGGGUUAAUAUGUUCAGGAUAUGUAGUUGAGGCCCUGCCACUGGAGUGAAUUGCAAAUCGCGGUUCUACUGGGGUCCUGUUGCCCCCGUUACAAUUUUAGGUAGACACAUGCAAGCUACUGUAUUAAUUUACAGUACCUACAAUAUGAUAUAGUGUGUCAUUCACACAACUCGAGAUACGGUUGCAAAGCUAUACUUCCAUAUUUUAUUGAAAACGUCUUGAGGGGAUCCUACGGAAUGUGGCACCAACCGGAUAACGAUAAACCAGAAAGUAACUUGCAGCCAACUUCCCCCUGAGAACACGGACAACUUCAGAUUCGUUAAGUUACAGCAAAGACAACAGACUGUUGGAAACUUUCCGUCUCGACAGCAGUUUUUUGUCACUGCCCCGUGCUGUAGGCUCCAGGCGAGGCAAGUUCAUCUCGAACGAGCCUACUGUCAGGGCUUACUGAGACACUUGAAUAGAGCGGAGCCAUCAUUAAUGUUGUUAGUAACAUGCACAGUACCAGGGGGCUGGAACUGACUCAUGAAUGGAAAUCAGCCAUCAUCAAUGUAAUUAAUCACAUCUGUACUUAUUAUUACACUAUUCUAUUACAAGAAAAUGUCUGCUGUGAGAAAGGUUACCAAAGUCCAUAUAGACCUUUUUCAGAAUGUUUUCUUCGUACUACAGACUUCUUAUUUUUGAAUUGGUAGAAUUUGGUUUGGAGUAUAUUGGAAAAGUACAUGCAAGACCGUCAGCAAGCAUACUAAAAAUGCUCCAUCGUUGAGCAUGCUGUUUUUCCCAUAAUUCAUCGCAGAGAGGCAAUAGAGGAGCUACUUACAGCUGUGAGUAAGUUGUGGAUGGUGGUGUAACAGCCUUGUGAACACCACAGAAAAUAAAUGAAACAAAUGUGUUCAUGCUGUCAGCGUGUUAAAUUGAAUUUGUGACACUCCAAAGUUGCAGUUUGAUUGACAUGCAUCAGUUAUUAGUAUGAAAUGGUUGAGUGUGUUUUCUUGUAUACUGCAAAACGUGUAUACUUUAUACUGUAUACAUUUAGAAUGUACAGUAGUAUGAAAUUGGAACAUGUCAUAGCUGGAAAAGCACAGGUGAAACUAAUAACAUGGCCUAGUUUUGUUAAAGUUUUGGCAGCAUCCACAGUGCCAGCGCUUGGAAACUGAUUGACAGAAUGAAAAGCUUUAAUGUUAUUAAUUAUGUCUGUGUUUGACACAUUAAAAUGCCUCCUUUGAUAAAUACAAUGUGUAACAAAUGGUAAAGGUUGAAGUUAUCCCACACUAACAGGAGAAUGAGCCCGAAUCAGGGAGAAUAAGUGAAAACACUUGUGGGGUGUUUUUAAAUCUCCUUGAACCUCUGACUUGCUGGUGUUCAGCUGUUGUUUGCAUGAGUGACACUGACCAGUCUGUCACUAUCCUGUCUGGAGAAAUUAUAUGGAAAAAGGUUAAGCUAUGUUGUUUUACACUGCCCCCAGAAUGUGACACUGGCCAGACAUUUGCCAGUUGUAGUCACUUAUUCGGGGAUGCUAGAUGAACAGUUGUGAGAGUGCUUUGUAGAGCAGCUGUUCUCACUGUACUGAACCAGUUAGGCUGGUUUUCCUGGCUGAAAGGAGUCUUUUCAGAAAAGUUGAUUGUUCAUUAAAUAUGUAUUGACUCUCAGUAAAAUCGAUUUGUGCUAAUAUAUUGUUUCAUUGUUUUACAAAUUUUUCCAAAUUAACAAUUUCAUGCAAAUUGUAACAACAAACCACUUGCAUUGAUUUAUUGAAGUUUUGUUUUACCCAGUGGUUUCUCUAAGCCCUGCCUACAUUUUUACAGAAGUGAAAUCCAAUUUUUGGGGAUGAGGUAGUGUUCUAACAAUGUUAAUCAGUGCAGGCCAUUCCACCCCUUGGUUUUGUUUAUUUUUAUCACAUUAAUUAACCCAUCCUGACAUGUGUGUCAUGCAACACAGUCGUCAGCCGGCCAUUGCAUGUCUUUCUAUAGCAUCUAAGCAUUGGCUUGCACAGGGGGAAACAAACAGCAGUAGGUAUUUUUCCCAGAAGAUAUUUUGACAUGUCACAGUAGCAAAAGUACAGGUGUAUACUAAAAACCAGAAUUCAGUUUACCUGCUUUGUUUGCUAUUGUGCAUGCUGGUUCACUGUCACACUGCCAUGGCUUACUGGGGGACUUGAAUAGAAGAGCGCCAUCUUUAGUGUUAAUAGUAACACCUGUGUUUUUCCUAUGACAUGUCAGAAAAUCUGAAGAAGGCUCACAAUAAUAAAAGUUUUAGGACUGAUCUGAAGAAGUAAAGGGAGUAAGAGAGGUGUGGCAGAAUCAGGUUGUGUGACUCUAUGCAGUAGGUGGCUUUUUCCCAUUUCUGUAAAUGGAUCAGUUUUGUAAAAUGCAAUUUCUUAAAUAUGACUAAUGGGUAUAAAUUGGUUCUUUGGAUAACUAUUGAAUCCACGCCAAGUCCAACUUUAUUAGUAGGUAUUAUAUACAUUUGUUUAUCAGUUAAAGAAACAUGAUCCCAAUGCCUGUCAUCAGCAAGUUUUCAAAAAUGUACAGUCAAUAUUUUAGUCAUUUAAGUGAAAUUGACACUUUAUUUGUCUAGCUGUUAAUCAUUUUUAUGUGAAUUAUAAUAAAUCAUUUUUUUCAUUGA